AGUAUCCAGAUAGUGUCUACCGAGGUGGUUAAACAAAGAUGCUUUGGAGAUAGGCAGCCUGAAUUCACAUUCCAGCUCGUGACAUUGAGCAAGCCACUUAAACUCUCUGGGUCUCUAGUGUCACGAUGUACGUGAAGGAAUCUCUGUACGUACAGUGGUUAACACGGUGCCUGGCCCACAGGUAAUGCUUACAGUAAGUGGUAGUUGUUAACAGUUUUGGUACUUGCCUCGUCUGUCUCCCUAGACCUGGCUCUGGGGUCAACAGGAAGUUAGAGACAGAUGAGUUCUCCCAGAACAUACCUGGAUCAAGACCUAUUAAAAGUUUCUUUAUCUCUCUUCAUUGUCACAUCUUUCAUUUCAGGGAAAAUUUGGAGGAGCUAAAUUGGGAAUGGAAAAGUUGCAUCUGACAAAAGGUGCUGCCUGUGGUUGGAGGCAAAAUCCUGGAUUUCCUCAAUGGCUUGGAGUUGGAGGGCUGUUCCUGUGGUUGUGAUUUCAACCCAAGUGCUAGUAGAAUUGAGCACUUAGUUUCCUGGUUAUGUUAUCAAACCGAAAUUCGGAUUGGCCUCCCUAGGUCCCUAUAUUUGACAAUGGCCACACUGUGCUGCCAGGAACAGACACUGGAAAUAUCAGUGCCUCCUUUCACUCUCCAAUCCACUAGCAUACAAGCUCCAUGGGGCCAGGGGUUUUUAUCUGUUUUGUUCACUGCUGUGUCUUCAGUGUCUAUAACAUUGCCUGACAUCGUAAAUGCUCAAUAAAUCUUUCAUGACUGAAUGACUCCAAGC
rnacentral:lncRNA from 10 species